GUCCAAGGGCAGGAGAUGGGUGUCUCCCUCCAGAAAAGAGAAUUUGCUUGUCUUCUCCCUUUGUGUUCCAUCUGGGUCCCCAACCAAGUGGAUGUGCCUGCCCACGCUGAGGGCAGAUCUUCACUGAGUCCACUGAAAACAUCCUCACACACUCAGAAACAAUGCUUCGCCAGCUGCCAAGUACAGUGUGUGUGCCUUAGUCCCAGCUACUCAGGAGGCUAAGGUGGGAGAAACGCUUGAGCCUGGGAGCUGGAGGCUGCAGUAAGCCAUGAUUGUGCCAUUGCACUCCAGGCUGGCUGACAGAGAGAUCCUGCCUCAAAAAAAGAGAUAGAUAGAUAGAUAGAUAGAUAGAGCUCCACCAGCCAUCUAGGCUUUUUUUUUUUAAACAGGGUGUCACUCUGUCAACCAGGUUGGAGUGCCGUGGUGCUAUCAUAGCUCACUGCAGCCUUGACUUCCCAGGCUCAACCCAUCCUCCCACCUCAGCCUCCUGAGUAGCUGGGACUACAGCGUACAGGCACAGACCACGAUACCUGACUUAUUUUUAAAUUUUUUGUAGAGAAGUUUCACCAUGUUGCCCAAGCUGGUCUCAAACUCCUGGGCUUAAGCAAACCUCCCACCUCAGCCUCCCAAAGUGAUGGGAUUACAGGCAGGAGACAUGGCAGCCAGCUAAGGCUCCCUGUACCCUGUUAGUCGGCUUUACAGCACCUGGAAUUGACCGCCACACGGAGCCUGGCGCUAAGGCCUGGCUGUGCCCAAUGGUUCUGCACGAAGACCCGGGCCGGCCUGUGGGGAGCUCAGCUGCAUAUGCGUCUGUGGCGCCCCCUGUGCCCUGCUCUUUGGGGACUGAGCAUAGCUGCCCCUCCCUCUCUCCCUUCUGCCCGCUCCUGGACAUUUCCGGAAGGCCCCAGGAAAUGGUGGCUGAUAGUGGUUCCUGAGGCCACACCACGGGCUGCCUGGUGCCCUUUCCCUCCCCAGUGCCCGGCUGGAGCAAGAAGCCGAGCUCCUGAUGGGAGCUGGCCCUUUCUUUAGACUUUGCUUCACCUUCAGGACAGGGGGUUCUGAAUUUCUGCGCUAGGGCCCCGCCGGCUUGGGUGGGCUUCCAGCGUGAAUCCUCGGCCUGUCGUCCCCGUCAUCAGGAAGCCCAACAGGGCGCCCGCCUGCCCUCUGUGUCCUCCCCGGGCUCGCGGCCGUGCACCUUCUGGUGCUGGAUGAGGGUGGACAGCCGGCUGCAGGCCCUCCCGCAGGCGCGGCACCGGUAUGGCCUCUCGCCGCUGUGGAGCCGGUAGUGCUCGUUCAGCGUGUAGCUCCUGCGGAACGCCUUGCCGCACUCGGUGCACGCGAAGGGCUUCUCCUUGGUGUGGAUCUUCUGGUGCAGAGUGAGGUUGGACUUGCGACCGAAGGCCUUGCCGCACUCCGCGCACUCGAACGGCUUCUCGCCCGUGUGUAGGCGCAGGUGCAGCAGCAGCAGGGAGUUGUGUCGGAACGGCCUCCCGCACACCGGGCACUCGUGGGGCGGGUCCCCCGCCUGGGGCCUCUGCGCAGCUCCGAGCAGGGCGCCCUGCCCCACGCCGCCGUCCUGGGCACCCUCCUGCGCGUGCAGCCGGUGGUGCUUCAGGAGCGAGGACCCUCGGAUGAAGCGCUGCCCACACCGCAGGCACCGGUAGGGCCGCUCCCCGCUGUGGAUGCGGCCGUGCUCGUUGAGGGUGAACCUGCGGCAGAACGCCUUGCCGCACUCUGUGCACGCGAAGGGCUUCUCCCCGGUGUGGAACUUCUGGUGCUGCAGCAGCCGGGAGCUGCGGCUGAAGGCCUUGCCGCACUCGCCGCAUGCGUAGGGCCGCUCGCGGGUGUGGACGCGGUGGUGGGCAGCCAGCUGCGUGCUCUGCCGGAAGGCCUUCCCGCACUCGCCGCCGAGGGCACAAGCUGUUCCAGUGUAAUAAAGAAAAUAUAUAAAAUAAGAAUAGUUAUACUAGAAAGAGAUUAUAGAUAUGAUGAUAUAUGAAUAGUAUUAGUCAUCAGCUUGUAGCAUUACUCUUUAUUCUAAUAUUAUAAUAAUCUCUGUUCUGGCCAGGCGUGGUGGCUCACGCCUGUAAUCCCAGCACUCUGGGAGGCCGAGGCGGCGGAUCACAAGGUCAGGAGAUCGAGACCAUCCUCGCUAACAUGGUGAAACCUCGUCUCUAUUAAAAAUACAAAAAAAAAAAUUGGCUGGGCGUGGUGGUGGGCGUCUGUAGUCCCAGCUACUCGGGAGGCUGAGGCAGAAGAAUGGCGUGAACCCGGGAGGUGGAGCUUGCAGUGAGCCGAGAACGCGCCAGCCUGGGCCAAAGUGCGAGACUCCGUCUCAAAAAAAAAAAUAAUGGCCAGGCGCGGUGGCUCACGCCUGUAAUCCCAGCACUCUGGGAGGCCGAGGCGGUGGAUCACAAGGUCAGGAGAUCGAGACCAUCCUGGCUCACACGGUGAAACCUCGUCUCUACUAAAAAUACAAAAAAUUAGCCGGGCAUGGUGGCGGGCGCCUGUAGUCCCAGCUACUUGGGAGGCUGAGGCAGGAGAAUGGCGUGAACCCGGGAGGCGGAGCUUGCAGUGAGCUGAGAUCGCGCCACUGCUCUCCAGCCUGGGCGACAGAGCGAGACUCCAUCUCAAAAAUAAUAAUAAUAAUAAUCUCUGUUCUACAAUUAUAACCUAGGAAAAACCAGGCCAUACAGAGAUAGGAGCUGAAGGGACACAGUGAGAAGUGACCAGAAGACAAGAGUGUGAGCCUCUGUCACGCCCGGACAGGGCCACUAGAGGGCUCCUUGGUCUAGCGGUAACGCCAGUGCCUGGGAAGACGCCCGUUACUUAGUUGACCUUGGUCUAGCAGUAACCCCAGUGCCUGGGAAGGCACUAGUUACAUAGCAGACCUGGAAAGGGAGUCUUCCUUUCCCCAGGGUAGUUAGAGAAGACUCUGCUCCACCACCUCUUGUGGAAGGCCUGACAUCAGUCAAACUCGCCCACAGCCAUGCUGAGGCCUGACCGUCUCCCUGUGAUGCUGUGUUUCAGUGGUCAUGCUCCUGUUUCACUUUCAUGUUCCACCCUGUACACCUGGCUCUGCCUUCUAGACAGCAGUAACAGAAUUAGUGAAAGUACUAAAAGUCAUUAAAAUGCAUAGAAGAAAUAAUGGCGUAAGCUGUCCUGUCUCUCUCUCCGCCUCGGCUGUCAAACAGGGAAGGACCCCCUGUCCGGUGAACAUGUGACUCACAUGACCUUAUCAAUCAUUGGAAAUGACUCACACUCUUUACCCUGCCCCUUUCGCCUUGUAUCCAAUAAAUAACAGCGCAGCCAGGCAUUCAGGACCA
rnacentral:lncRNA from 10 species